rnacentral:misc_RNA from 1 species
UGCCUAUAAUUCCAUGAUUAAUGUCUUUGGGAAAGCUAGGUUGUUUAGAGAGGCGAGGAUGCUGCUAAAGGAGAUGAGAGAGGUGGGGGUUAUGCCUGAUACAGUAAGUUAUUCAACGCUUUUAAGUGUUUAUGUUGAACAUGAGAAGUUUGUGGAGGCCUUGUCUGUUUUUGCAGAGAUGAAAGAUGUCAAGUGCCCACUUGACCUCACAACAUGUAAUAUUAUGAUUGAUGUUUAUGGACAGCUUGAUAUGGCCAAGGAAGCAGAUAGGUUGUUUUGGAGCAUGAGGAAGAUGGGGAUAGAGCCAAAUGUUGUUAGUUAUAAUACCCUUUUGAAGGUCUAUGGCGAG